rnacentral:rRNA from 1 species
UACGUAGGGGGCUAGCGUUGUCCGGAUUUAUUGGGCGUAAAGAGCGUGUAGGCGGCCAGGUAGGUCUGCUGUGAAAACUCGAGGCUCAACCUCGAGACGUCGGCGGAAACCAUCUGGCUAGAGUCCGGAAGAGGAGAGUGGAAUUCCUGGUGUAGCGGUGAAAUGCGUAGAUAUCGAGAGGAACACCUGCGGCGAAGGCGGGUUGCUGGGCUGACACUGACGCUGAUGCGCGAAAGCCAGGGGAGCGAACGGG